rnacentral:rRNA from 1 species
UAGGGAAUCUUCCGCAAUGGGCGAAAGCCUGACGGAGCAACGCCGCGUGAGUGAUGAAGGUCUUCGGAUCGUAAAACUCUGUUAUUAGGGAAGAACCAAUGUGUACGUAACUAUGCACGUCUUGACGGUACCUAAUCAGAAAGCCACGGCUAACUACGUGCCAGCAGCCGCGGUAAUACGUAGGUGGCAAGCGUUAGCCGGAAUUAUUGGGCGUAAAGCGCGCGUAGGCGGUUUUUUAAGGCUGAUGUGAAAGCCCACGGCUCAACCGUGGAGGGUCAUUGGAAACUGGAAAACUUGAGUGCAGAAGAGGAAAGUGGAAUUCCAUGUGUAGCGGUGAAAUGCGCAGAGAUAUGGAGGAACACCAGUGGUGAAGGCGACUUUCUGGUCUGUAACUGACGCUGAUGUGCGAAAGCGUGGGGAUCAAACAGG